UUGUACUUUUACAUUUUUUUCUUUAUUCCGCAAGAUAAAAACUUGCGGAAUCGCAUUUAAACAUCAAUUUUAUAUUCUACAAGAUUACCAAUCAAGACCACAGUGUUGUAAUACACAUACCAGAUCUAAAGCCAACGGACAACACAAUAUCCUGGAAACGAAAACCCAUAUAUGAGAGACGAGAUGAAAUAAAACAGAAAACACUUUCGACAAAGAACACGACCGAUCAGAUCAAAAAUAGGAAAACUGGAAUAAAACCAUAAACGAUUUAAAGCAAGUGAAAUUUAGAAUUGUUUUUUUUUUCUCAGCAAUUAAAUGCAUGUGGAAACUAAUU
rnacentral:lncRNA from 1 species